rnacentral:lncRNA from 1 species
CUCAUGUUGAAUUUAGAGAGAGGUGUGUGCCCCUCUCAAUCAUUAUAUGCAUUCCAUGUGGCUUGCACCCAUGGAACCUAUCAGAAGAAGAGGGGGUGUGUGCCCCUCUAGAUCUCAUCCAGAGGUCGUAUGCACCCCACAAGAUACUUUCCAAAAGUUCAGUGCCAAGUCAAAUGUGUAAAAGAGGAAGGCUUGAGGCUUGC